GCCUUCGUGGUGUAGUGGUCAGCACGCUCGGCGCGUAUUCGACAGGUCUGUGGUUCGAGUCCCAGCGAGGGCA
rnacentral:tRNA from 1 species